GUGCUCGCUUCGGCAGCACAUAUACUAAAAUAGGAACAAUACAGAGAAGAUUAGCAUGGCCCCUGCACAAGGAUGACACGCAAAUUCGUGAAGUGUUCCAUAUUUUU
ensembl:snRNA U6 U6 spliceosomal RNA